rnacentral:rRNA from 1 species
UACGGAGGAUGCAAGUGUUAUCCGGAAUCACUGGGCGUAAAGCGUCUGUAGGCGGUUUACUAAGUCAACUGUGAAAUCUUGAGGCUCAACCUCAAAAUCGCAGUCGAAACUAUUAGGCUAGAGUAUAGUAGGGGUAAAGGGAAUUUCCAGUGGAGCGGUGAAAUGCGUAGAGAUUGGAAAGAACACCGAUGGCGAAGGCACUUUACUGGGCUAUUACUAACACUCAGAGACGAAAGCUAGGGUAGCAAAUGGG